rnacentral:rRNA from 1 species
AUUGAACGCUGGCGGCAUGCUUUACACAUGCAAGUCGAACGGUAACAGGGAGCUUGCUCCGCUGACGAGUGGCGAACGGGUGAGUAAUAUAUCGGAACGUACCCAAGAGUGGGGGAUAACGUAGCGAAAGUUACGCUAAUACCGCAUACGAUCUAAGGAUGAAAGCAGGGGAUCUUCGGACCUUGUGCUCCUGGAGCGGCCGAUAUCUGAUUAGCUAGUUGGUGAGGUAAAGGCUCACCAAGGCGACGAUCAGUAGCUGGUCUGAGAGGACGACCAGCCACACUGGAACUAAGACACGGUCCAGACUCCAACGGGAGGCAGCAGUGGUGAAUUUUGGACAAUGGGCGCAAGCCUGAUCCAGCAAUGCCGCGUGAGUGAAGAAGGCCUUCGGGUUGUAAAGCUCUUUUGUCAAGGAAGAAACGGGAGUGGCUAAUAUCCAUUCCUAAUGACGGUACCUGAAGAAUAAGCACCGGCUAACUACGUGCCAGCAGCCGCCGUAACAC